CAACAGCCCUGGCCCAGGAGAACUCUAUGCAGCCCCCAAGGACGACGGCUUCAGCUCAGUGAUGCCGAACCUUUUAGACCUUUGAGUGCCAACGCAGGCGGCUGCAGCAUGUGUGCCAGGGCUCCCACCACUGCCCUCCCUCGGAUUAAUCCUUGGCCCAUGUGCUGGCCAAUAUCCUGGCACCAGAGCUUCCUGCCUUUCUUUGGGUUUUGCUUCUUCCCAUCCCAGAAGUCUACCAGGCAACUAGCAUCAAUCAUUUAUAACAAAUGGAAUCUGCUCCCCAAAGAGGAGACAAGGAAGGACAACUCCCACAUGCUCGCUGGCCAGGACUGCAUAUUUCCAGAAUUUUCUCAAAGAACAUACAGAAAGGCAGAGAUAAGAAGAAGGGCCCAAAAGAAUCUUAUUCUCAGCGUUAAAAUGGCAUCAGGAAAUCAAAGACAACUAGAAAGCUGUUUUCACAACAUCUGAGUCCUCUUCAGACGUCACCGCGCCCAGAGACAGUACAACGGCAUCAUCCUUCCUGGCUCACGGCAUGAAGGGGUUAAGAGGCAGACCGCGCCUCAGACGCCCACCACCCCACACUCGCAGCUCCCAGGCUGGGAGCCUCCCCACCCUUCCCCACUCUUCCCAGAGAGCAGGGCUCCUUCUCCACAGAUGCUG
rnacentral:lncRNA from 1 species